rnacentral:rRNA from 1 species
CCUACGGGUGGCAGCAGUGGGGAAUAUUGGACAAUGGGCGAAAGCCUGAUCCAGCCAUGCCGCGUGUGUGAAGAAGGCCUUCGGGUUGUAAAGCACUUUCAGUGGGGAAGAAAGCCUUGGGGCUAAUACCCUCGAGGAAGGACAUCACCCACAGAAGAAGCACCGGCUAACUCCGUGCCAGCAGCCGCGGUAAUACGGAGGGUGCGAGCGUUAAUCGGAAUUACUGGGCGUAAAGCGCGCGUAGGCGGUCUGAUAAGCCGGUUGUGAAAGCCCCGGGCUCAACCUGGGAACGGCAUCCGGAACUGUCAGGCUAGAGUGCAGGAGAGGAAGGUAGAAUUCCCGGUGUAGCGGUGAAAUGCGUAGAGAUCGGGAGGAAUACCAGUGGUGAAGGCGGCCUUCUGGACUGACACUGACGCUGAGGUGCGAAAGCGUGGGUAGCAAACAGGAUUAGAUACCCCAGUAGUC